UGGGGAAUAUUGCGCAAUGGACGAAAGUCUGACGCAGCGACGCCGCGUGUGGGAUGAAGCUCUUCGGGGUGUAAACCACUGUUGCCCGGGACGAAAUGCCCUUUCGAGGGAAUUGACGGUACCGGGUGAGGAAGCACCGGCUAACGCUGUGCCAGCAGCCGCGGUAAUACAGAGGGUGCGAGCGUUGUCCGGAAUCACUGGGCGUAAAGGGCGCGUAGGUGGCGGCAUAAGGCCGCGGUGAAAGUUCAGGGCUCAACCCUGAAUCGGCCGCGGCGACUGUGUCGCUUGGGCACUGUAGAGGCAGAUGGAAUUCCGGGUGUAGCGGUGGAAUGCGUAGAGAUCCGGAAGAACACCGGUGGCGAAGGCGGUCUGCUGGGCAGUGGGAGCGUAAGCUCCUUUUAGCCGACACUGAGGCGCGACAGCGUGGGGAGCAAA
rnacentral:rRNA from 1 species